rnacentral:tRNA from 1 species
GGGGGUGUAGCUCAGAGGAAGAGCGUCCGCCUUUUAAGCGGAGGGUCGAGAUGUCGCAAUUCUCCGCCCCUACCA